GCUGCCAAGCGCCUCGACUCCGCCUUCCCCACACGCCACGACGCCCAUUGGGCGACCUGAGCCGGCCUCCCCGCCCUCCUCUUCUCGGCCAUACCAAUAGGAGACAGGAUGCCGGGGCUACACCCCACCCUUGAAGAUCCAGGGCACUCUCUGCUGUCUGAAGGGCCAUUCUUCAAGGGCUGCAAGGAUAUGAGAAACACAGUGGUGGAAGAUACUAGCCUGAGGAAGAUACUAGUGAGGCCUGAGAAAAUGCCUUUCAGCAAAAUUAAAAUCAGGCCGUGGAGGGGGAACUUUCAAUCUGGAGCGAUCAAGCUCCAAGACAGACAGCUCCUUUAGGACACUGCUCAAGUUAGGAUGGGGACGCAUCCUCUGGCUUGAAGGUCCCAGAAUUCAGAAGUAGUAUGGCUCUCUUCAUCCACCGAUAUCCACCCCCAGGAAUUUGCGCUAGAGGCUCAUGAAAGAAAGGGAGAACUCCGAGUGGACCAAAAGGAUUAGAAAAAUGAUGCCUGGAUGCCUGGCGCCCACACGCAGUGAGCCCCUUAAUCCUUGCCCCUGUCUUCCUGGUGCUGUCCCCAGGUUGAGUCCCUGGUUGGAAGAGUACUGCCUUCAACUAGAGCAACUAAGGAGGCCUAGAAUGAGAUCCAGGGCUCCCAGGAUGCGUGAGAGCUGCCCUGUGGAGGUACUGGAGAAGUUGGGAGGGGGAAGCUGUGGGGAGAGGAAAGAAGGCAGAGAUGAGCUCAGGGCCCCCAGAGAAUGGAGUCUUUGUGUGGGGUACAGAUGAGGGACAAGGGGCUGAUUGUGUGGGAGGGCCGGAAGUACCACACAGACUGGCACCACCAUAGCCAGCACCGGAUUCACCCCUCUCCUGCUCCAAGAACUCCCUGU